rnacentral:rRNA from 1 species
AGAGCUCAAAUUGAAAAUCGGCUACCCAUGCGGGUUGUCGAAUUGUAGCCUAGAGACGUAUUGUCAGCGUGUGACCCAGGUAUAAAUCUUUUGAAACAAGGUAUCAUAGAGGGUGAGAAUCCCGUCUUUGACCUGGAGUUCGCCGCGUACGACGUGCGUUCGUAGAGUCGAGUUGUUUGGGAUUGCAGCUCUAAAUGGGUGGUAAAUUUCAUCUAAAGCUAAAUAUUGACGAGAGACCGAUAGCGAA